rnacentral:tRNA from 1 species
GGUCUUGUAGUUUAUAUUUAAAAUAUUAAAUUGCAAAUUUAACGAAGAAUAAGUUUUCUAAGACUU